GACGAACGCUGGCGGCGUGCCUAAUACAUGCAAGUAGAACGCUGAAGGAGGAGCUUGCUUCUCUGGAUGAGUUGCGAACGGGUGAGUAACGCGUAGGUAACCUGCCUGGUAGCGGGGGAUAACUAUUGGAAACGAUAGCUAAUACCGCAUAAUAGUAGAUGUUGCAUGACAUUUGCUUAAAAGGUGCAAUUGCAUCACUACCAGAUGGACCUGCGUUGUAUUAGCUAGUUGGUGGGGUAACGGCUCACCAAGGCGACGAUACAUAGCCGACCUGAGAGGGUGAUCGGCCACACUGGGACUGAGACACGGCCCAGACUCCUACGGGAGGCAGCAGUAGGGAAUCUUCGGCAAUGGACGGAAGUCUGACCGAGCAACGCCGCGUGAGUGAAGAAGGGUUUCGGAUCGUAAAGCUCUGUUGUAAGAGAAGAACGAGUGUGAGAGUGGAAAGUUCACACUGUGACGGUAUCUUAACAGAAAGGGACGGCUAACUACGUG
rnacentral:rRNA from 1 species